rnacentral:lncRNA from 1 species
AAAUGUUGUGCAUAAGAUUCAAAAUACUCCAUCACCUGAGUGUGAGUAGGAUACGUGUCUGUUAUCGAGGGAGGCCAUGGAAAAUCAGAAAACUGGAAAAUUUCUUUGGUGUUUUGGAGUCUGGUUGACUCCAAAGUAUGUGACCAAACUCCUCCAAUUCUAUCUUCAGCUUCAAACACAAUCGGGUUGAGUCCAAUGUUGAGAGCGUACUUACAGGCAAGAAGGCCACUUGCUCCUGCUCCGAUGAUAACAAUCUGCUUUUCCAUCUGUCAUGGGUGAACUGAGAGAUGCAUUUAGGAUCAUUGCAUUAAAUAGUAAUUUAUUGCUAGGUGAUAUCAGAAGCCAUCAAAGGCUCAGGCUGUACAUGCCAAUAAUGUUUGUUUGUUUUUGUUUUAAGAAAAUUUUUGAAAAAAUUUAAAAUUUUUUAUUUUUUUAUUUUAAAUUAAUAUUUUUUAAUGUUUUUAUAUCAUUUUAGUGUGUUAAUGUAAAAAAUAAUUUUUCAAAAAUAAAAAAAUAUAUUAUUUUGAUGCAUUUCUAAAUAAAAAAACACUUUAAAAAUCAACCGCAAUCACAUUCUCAAAUAUGUAAUACAGUAAUCAAGCUUAUAUGUCUGCAAAAGUUCUCCCUUUUUUUCCCUGUUAAUUUAGCUUGAGAUGGUCAAAACUUUUUUUUUUUUUUUUUUUUUUUUACAGUGAGAUGCGUUUAGGACCAGGGUAUUAACAAAAACUAAAGGUUGUGGGUAAAAUAUUCUAGCAGUUUUCACUGUUUAUUUUUUUACUAUUCAUUAUGGAAUUAUAGUAAUGUAUUUUUUAAAAAUUUUUAUUUUCAUCCUUAAAUUAUUAUUUUUUUGUAUAAUUUGGGUCCAAAUUUGAAUACUAUUACAUGUUUUUUAAAAAAUGGUUGAAUUGCAAGAAAUAAAAUUGAAGUGAAAAACACUGGACAUAAGUGAUGGCUUUGAGAUUUAAAAAAAAAAAUCAUUUUCAUUCCUCGUCUUUUUUAGCUAUUAGGUGACCGGUCCCUAUAAUUUUUUAAAAAUAAAUUUUAGUACUAAACUUCAUUUCUCUUAUUUUUUAGUUUUUUUUUGUGGAGGAGAGAAAUGAAAUCGCUGGAUUUUGAUUUAGAGAGAGAAAGUUGUUAUUUUCUUUUAUUUUUUCUUAAAUUUUCAUUUUUUAUAUUUCUUUUUUUAAAAUAAUUUUUAAAUUUAUACUUUAAUUAAUACCUCUUCUCUCUUAUUUUUUUGGUUUUUAUCCUUUUUAAAUAGUAAUUAUUUUUUAAUUAUAUUAAGUGUGUUUAAUUUUUUAAGAAGUUAGUAUGAUUCAUUUGUAAAUCUUUUUUUAUAUUUUUUAUAGUUUAAAUAUUUAAUUUUUAUUAUAUUUUUAAUAUGUGCAGCCUUGCAUAAUUUUUUUUUAUUCGAUAAUUUUUAUGUAUUUAUCAAUUUUUAUUAUAAAUUAAUUUAAAAAAUAUUCAUUAAAUACAACCAGGUAAAUAACUUUUUUUUAACUUUUGAAUAAAGUUUUUUUUCCAUGUUAUCACAAUCAUUUUUUUUAUAUAUGUAUUUUCUCAUUUGCUAUCUUUGCUUUUUUUAUUAAUAUAAUUUAAAUAUAAUUUAUUUAUUUAGUUGAUUGUAACAUGAAUUAUUAAUUUUUUUUAAAAAAUGUACUUGCAAUGUAUAAAUAUUUUACUAAAAAACAAUACCAUCUAGUAUGAUAGGGCGGGCACCAGGAUAGGGCGCCCGGCGGGCACCAGUCUAGGUAAAUACUAAUUAAUUAGAAGUGAUAUCAAAAUCCAUCGAAAGGCUCGUGUUCUUCACGGCAAUAAUGUAAAAGUGGAAUCUUUUGUUUCUUUGAAUAGACCGGCCACCAUAUCAAUUGAAAUGUUUAGGAUUCCAGUAACUUUUAUUUUAUGAGUGAAUUGAUAUUUUUUUUUGUGUUUUUUAAAUGGUUUUAAUAUAUUAAUAUAAAAAAUAAAAAAAUAUUUUAAUAUAUUUUUAAAUAAAAAACACUAUAUACCAUAAUAUUAAAUAAUCUCGAAUCAUCUAGCGUGUGAAAGUAGAAAACUUUUUUGUUAAUAUUGCUUGUGUGGGUCAAGUUCUUGCAUCUACUUAGUUGGAGGAAUGAAGUUGGAUAUAAUUGCAAGAAAUGUGUUUGCCUUUAAAAGAAAAAUUAAAGAUAAUUUUUUUAUUAUUAUUAAUGUAAAUGUUCGAGUUAGCUUAUUUAUAUCUUGAUUAAUUUUAUGAAUCUUAAAAUUAAUAAUUAUAUAAGUUUUUAGUGACUUUAAAAUUCGUGAAACUCAAACUAAUAAUUUUUAAGUAAAAAACUCAAACAUAACUUUCUUUAUUUGUGAUUGCAAAAGUUUUGGUGGUCAGCUAUAGCACCGGCUUGGACUGUUUAUUGAGAUAAGCUUAUCCUAUAGUUUUUAGGAGUUAGGACUUUUGAGCAGAAACACAGUAGCCAAUAAUUGCUGUGAUACAUGCAGAGGAUAACACGGAAACCAUACUGUGAAGGCGAAGAUCAUGAUGAGAGGCCCUUGACAUGAACCAAAUUCUUGCUGCGGCGUAGAGGCCAUGGCAACAUCUGUUUGUCGCGCACUAAUUUUCUACAUUUCCAUCUUCUAGCUUUUGAAACUGCAUAAUCGAAUUCCAAAGAUCUUUCUCCAAAAAAGAGAUAAUGGCAUAAUUGGAGAACAGCCCGCCCAUGAGCACAGAUAUAUUGGCACAUUGCAUUAGAGUCUCAUAACUUGAUUUCUGUAUAUAAAGUACUUGGGCGGAUUUUCUAGUUAUUAAUUAUAUAAUAGGGAAUAUAAUAAUCAUCAUGUAUAUUAUAUCAAAGGUUUUUUAUAAUAAAUAUAUAUAUUUUACUUACAUGUUAAAAGUUUUGUUUAAACUAAUAUAUACAUAUUUGUUACUAAAGAUAAAAUACUAUUAAUACCUAAACAAUGAUUUGGGAUUCGGACCUGGUAAUAAGAUUCAAUCUUCAUUUUAUUUGCAUUGGUCUUUUUUUAAAAAAAAAUAUCGUUUUGGUUAUUCAUGAAAAAAUUAUCAUUAGUCUUUUAAAAAUGAGAUUUAUUUAUAGCAAGAUUUUGAUAUUAAUCUUUGUAAAAAGAAAACUUGUUAUUUUGGUUAUUCGUAAAAAAAAUUCAAAAUGAACCCAAAAGAUGCAAGUAAAGAAAUUCAAAAUGGACCCAAAAGAUGCAACUUUUAAUUAAUAUGCCUCUUAAAAAAAAAUUAAAAUGGACCCAAGAGAUAUAACUUUUAAUCAAUGUUAACCCAGCUCAAAUUUAUACUAUUAAUUAUUUAUAUUUUUAUGGAAAAUAUUUAUUAUUAAUAAUAUUUGUACUUACACAUAUAUAAAAUUCGUUGACAAAUAAAAUAUCAACAUACACAACACAUAGAUAACACAAACAUUUAUUAGGGGUUUGAAAUUGAAGGGAAACACCAAAACAAAACAAAAAGACAGCGAGAAAAUAUAGACUAGCUCAUGUAUCUCACGCUCUGAUUUAUUUAUUUAUUUAUUUAUUAUUAUUAGAUUAAUUUGGGUGUUUGGAUCAGUUUGUGUGCAUCUCAACUAAUCCUACGGGUACUAAAGUUAACGACCUUGUAAGCCUCCAGUGGUCCUGAGAUUUAUAGGACUCGAACUAGUGAUUUUUGAAGAGCAAACUCAUACCCUGACCAAUUAAACUACACCCGUUGCACUGAUUUAUUAUCCUUCGGAGUGGUGGGUUGUUAGUGUUGAUUCACAGUGGCUAAUAGAGAUGGUGGAGGUUGAUGAAUUGAGGGCUCUGAUAAUAGGGUUUUUCUCUUUUUGGAAGGGAGGUCGUCUUAUGUUUGGUAGAAGUGAUAGUAAUUAUUGGGGGAGAAGAAACAAUUUUGGUUCAGGACAGUGGUUAUCUUUUUGGAUAAGAAGUGAGAGGCGGUGUGUGGUGUGUGUAAUGUAUUUUUUUUGUUGUUGUUGAUUUUUCCUCCCAGUCUUGUUCUUAUCUUAGGUGAAUGAGAGGUUGGUGUUGGAUCUGUCUCCCCCCCUUGUUUCAAGAUUGUUGGUGUUUUUAUGAAGAGGAAAGGCCAGGGUUCUGGAGUCUUAACGAUCUGAAAAAUCAAUUGAAGGCAAGAUUUCGGGGGUUGAUUCAAUUUGGGCUAUAUUUGUUGGAUAAUUCAUUAUAGUCAAUCAACUUGAGCUGGGAUCUUGCAAAAUUAUCUGGUAUUUUGGAUUGAAAAGUUGAGUUAAGGGACUGAUUUUCUUAUUUGGACUUAAAUAAAACAUGAAUUACUUUAGGACUAAGUUGAAUCAGUUGGACAAAAUUGAAUUGAAGAAUUGAACUGAAUUGAUUCAAUUGGAAACAGUUGGACUAAGAAUAUGAAUUAGAUAAAAAAUAAUAGGUCCCUAGAAUAUUUCCUUCUUUUCAUUGUAGCCCUUGCUUUUGGAUUUUUCAAUUUCAUUCAAUUAAGAUAUUUAGUCUCGGAAUUUCUUUCAAUUUAAACCCUAAAUUAAUUGAAUUAAUUUAUCUUUUCAAUUUAGUCCUUGGUUUCCUAAGAUUUAUAAAUCACAUUUUUUUUUCUUUUCAAUUGUGUCCUUAAUUUAAUCAAUUUAGACCUUCACCUUUAUUGGUUUUCAUUUUCUUAUCAUAUAAUAUAAUAAAACAAAUUCAUUGAAUCUAAUGGAGUCCAUGAACUAGGUCACAGGUUAAUUUGUGUUAUAUCUUCUUCUUUUCUUUUCCUUUGAAUUUUUUUUGGAUCAUCCAAGUCAACAAGGCUACAUCGUCAAUGCAACUCCCACACGAUUUAAUUUGAAACUCGAGUUAAGUAAAGAAUCGGAUUAAGAAUUUUCAAGUUUAAAUCAUUAUACCAAGCUCAAUAACAAUGCCAAAAAAAAUUCAUUUGGCCCAGAUAUCAUCUUUGUAUGUUAAUACUGAGAAAAAUUAAUUUUGAGAAAUUUAAACCAUAUAUCAUGUUUUAUACUUUUAUCCUCACGGAUUUUUCUUUAUAAUUUAUGGAGGAGUCAGCAACGAUCAUUUAAUAUAUGUGUUUUUAUCAAAAUAGCUAGACAAAUCUUCCAUGCGUUGCGAGGAUAAUGCUAAAAGUCUAAUUCAUGUAUGAUACAAAUUCCAAAUAUAAAUUAAAAAUAACACUUGUAAUUAAAAAGUACUAGAUAUGAGUAAUUUACAAAAAAGAAAAAGAAAAAGAAAAAGAAAAGGAGAAAUAGAAAGAAUGUGCUUGGCAUUAAGGAGAUGUUACGAUAAUUAUAUAGUACUUAUUUAAUUAAUCUAAUUUUUAAUCAAAAUAUUAACUUGUCUAACAUUGUAUUAUAUACUAAAAAAAUCAUCUAGAUAUUUGACGUUGCAAUAAUAUAAUCAAAAUAAACCUUAAAAACCUUAGGAAAAAAAAGAUAAAUUAAUCUCUAAAACUUAUUAAAAGAUAAUUUAGAGAGCUUUUUUUAAAUUAUGGUUAUUUUUUGUUAUGCAUUUAAUUUUUAAAAAGGUUUUAUGAUUCAUCUAUAAUUAUUUUUUAUCAUUUGUAUAGAUGAAUUAUAUUUUUAAAAAUAAAAAAUGUUUAUUUUCAUAUAAUAUUUCUAUUACGUGUAUCCUUGCAUAAUAUUUUUUUUUAUUUAAUCAAUUUAAUGUGUUUGUCUAUUUCUAAUAUUGUUUGAUUGAAUAAAAAAAAUAUUGUAAUAAAUUUUUUUUAUCAAACAUAACCAGGUAAAUGUACCGCCUUGUGAGAUUAAAUAUUUUAAUCUACAUCUGUCUCUUGAUUUUUCAAGUUUUAUUUUUAUAUAUUGUUAAUGACUUUUUAUUUAUUUAUUAGCACAUAUAAUUCUCAGUUUUUUUGAUUAUAUAUACGGAUAAAACUUUUUAUUUGCACUAAAAAAUUUUGAACUACAUAAACAUGUUGAAUUUUUUUAUAAAAAAUUAAAAUAUAUGACCCACCGGAGCAUGGGUUACAUAACUAUUUGUGUGCGUUUCAUUUGUUCAUUAUUUCAAAAAACAAAUAUUGGAUAAAUAUCAAAUAUGGUCCCUUAAAUAUUGACAUUUUGUCAAAUCAACUAAUUAUUUAGUUUUUGGCCAAAUUGACCCAUUUAACACACACACACACUAUAUAUAUAUAUAUAUAUAUAUAUAUAUAUAUAUAUAUAUAUAUAUAUAUAUGGAAACACAUGCUAUUUAGUUGAGCAUGAGUUGGAUAGGACUCAAUUCAUUUUAAAUUCGAAGUAGCUAAAGGUUUAAUUUGACUAAAAAUAAAGAUAAUCCCAAAGGGAGCCUCUGUAAUAGAGUAGUAGUUACCCCCACAGAUGUAAUUCAAAAGCAGACUGAGAUAUCCCAAAGGGAGUUAUAACUGGCACAUAUAUCGAAAACACAUAAAAACUAUGUAGGAAGUCUCAUAAUCUUUCAGUUUAUCUAUCUUUAUUGUUUUGUGGCCCAGUAUUUAAGAAGUUCAUAUCUUUUGUGGUUUUGAUAGUCCUAUCACGUAACAACUGUUGUGGUCCUCUCAUUUAUCUUUUACUAAAAAAGUGGUGCUACAUUGGUAUCCAUUAACUAAUAUAACACCAUGGCCGAAAAGGGAACCCUCGUGACAUUGAAAUAUGCAUAUUUACACUGAAACGUCAAAAUUUCUUGGUCUGCAAUGCUGCUUGAUCAAAUCUGAUAAGUUUCAGAGAAAAACCAAAAACUAUAUAAUGGGGGAGCAGUUCUAAUACAAAUAAAUCUUCAUCUGGUAUAUGCCUUAACAAAGGUCAUGGAAUACAGAAGAAAAUGUUGCAUCGGCUUAGGAAACAUAUCAAUUAUAACAGUCAUGUCCGCGACUCCUGCUUAAAUUUUAACCAGAAGGAUAAUUAUAAACUGGAAAUAUAAAUCCAUUACUAUUUUGCUACCCAGAGAAUAUCAUUGCCCUGAACUAGUUAUUCUGCUUUGAGCAGCUUGCAGGAGCAAGCAUAUCAAAUUACAUAGUUUCAACUUGUGAUGGAGUUUUCACAAACUUUGGACAACCUCACUUACUAGUGAGACCGGCAUAAUCUGUUGGAGCAUAUGGUAUAAACAAGUCUACUAGAAAUCCCUUCUUUCUUCUGGGAUUGCAUCCCAUGUCCCUGCAAAGUUGGUCACUGUACCAUAUGCUUGAGUUGCUAAUGCAAGCUCUCCUAAAGUAGCGGCCUGUAACUUGUUUGAUGUGAUCUGCCCACAUGUUUGCUUCCUUUUCCAUGUCUCUUAUACUUGGCAAUUCAAGGUUGCCAUCAAGGAAUUGUGAUAGCCAUACACUUUUGAUUUCUGAGCGACCCAAAUUUGAGAAAUUCUCAUUGUAUCCUAUGAUAGCCAAUCGAGGAAUUCGAGGAUGAAUUAUCUGUCUGAGAGGAAUGAAAAAGAGAUUUUUUUAGUACUAACCAUGAAAUAUCAAGCUGGAUGCAUUCAUAGAGAAACUUAAAGAACGUAUAGAAAGAUAGAUGGCAAGAAAUAAGAAGUUAACAAAAGACCUAUAGAGGGAAACUGUAGAGGUCGGUGACCCCAUUAUGUUGUUCUGGAAAACAGGAGACUCAAAAAUGUUUCUCAGUUUUUCAUCACCCUUGAAUCCUGUAGCAAAAAUCACAACAUCUGUUUCUAUUGGCUGAUUCUCUCCAUCUAUGAUUAGACCUUCUUCGCAGAAGCUUAAGAUUUGGGAAUUCUUGAUAAUGAUGCUUCCUUCUUCAACUCUGUCGUAGAAUUUGUCAGGCAGCAUAACAGUCUGACAGGCAGACAUAUCUUCAAGAAAGCUGAUUUUUGGUAACAUUCCAUACUUCUUCAGUGGAAGAUUCCAUCUAAGGUAGGUCUCAAUGAGUUUUGAAAUUCCCCAUCUCUAAAAAGUUAAAAGCAAGAUAUUGGCAUAAUAAUUCAGAGCAAUUCACACAUGUAUAACAAUCAUGAACAAAAGCAAUUGGGAGAGUGAAAUAGAAGUUACCAAGGGUGAAAGCAUGGUGGCCACAAAACUUAAUAGAAAUGUUUCACCAGGCUUAUGAACCAAGAAUUCCGAGAAUCGAUUGAAGUACAAGAAACCAAGUAGAAGUCCACUCAAUUUGUCACUAGGCAAAAACCAGUGAGCAUUCCUUUGAAUCAUUGUGCAAGGGUACUUGACUCCUAAAUCAUAGAUUAUAGAAAGGCAGAGUAAACUUCAAAUGACGACAACGCAGAUUUUAAUCAAGCAUUCCAUCCACAGAUUUAACUAGAUGAAGUGGCUUUUUUGAACAUAGCAUAGACCUUGCUGCUUCUUAAAGGAAUUACUCGAGACACGCAAGUCUUUUCAUUAAGCUGAUAAAAGAGUUCAAGUAGGAACAUUUGCCUUGACAGAAAGUUUUCUUACCAUUUGCAUUGGCACAUUCUGCUGCUAUGUCAGCUGCAGUUUUAUGAGAACCAACUAUUGUAACUCUCUUUGUUUUGAUCAACUCUGCUGCAGUCGAAUUGUUCAAGGCUGAGAAGUCCUCUGAAUGCAUCACCUUGCCCUUGAACACUUCAGGCCCUUUAUUUGGAAGGAACUCUGGGAUAUUUGGAAGGCCACUGAAUUGUCCAACGCAAAGAACAACAAAUUCUGUAUGAAACACCUGACCAGCAUAAUUCAUUAGUUAUUAUGAAAAAAUAGCCACAACCACAGUCCAUAACAACAUGGAUAUAUAUAUUAAUUGACUUCUUGAAAAAAUGAACCUACUUGUAUGCUGCCAUUUUUUGUGUCUUGAACUUUGACAUGCCAUUUCGCUUCGGUGCCAAAGGGCUUGCCUGUCCCACCCCAAAGAGCCCAUGACUCCAUCUCUUCAACAGACACCCCAACAUAGUCUAUGCCGAUGACCUUGGAAUUGAACUUGAUGCAAGGAAAGAGGUUGAAAUGUUGUGCAUAAGAUUCAAAAUACUCCAUCACCUGAGUGUGAGUAGGAUACGUGUCUGUUAUCGAGGGAGGCCAUGGAAAAUCAGAAAACUGGAAAAUUUCUUUGGUGUUUUGG